rnacentral:rRNA from 1 species
GACGAACGCUGGCGGCGUGCUUAACACAUGCAAGUCGAACGGAAAGGCCCUGCUUUUGUGGGGUGCUCGAGUGGCGAACGGGUGAGUAACACGUGAGUAACCUGCCCUUGACUUUGGGAUAACUUCAGGAAACUGGGGCUAAUACCGGAUAGGAGCUCCUGCUGCAUGGUGGGGGUUGGAAAGUUUCGGCGGUUGGGGAUGGACUCGCGGCUUAUCAGCUUGUUGGUGGGGUAGUGGCUUACCAAGGCUUUGACGGGUAGCCGGCCUGAGAGGGUGACCGGCCACAUGGGGACUGAGAUACGGCCCGGACUCCUACGGGGGGAAGCAGUGGGGAAUAUUGCACAAUGGGCGGAGGCCUAAGGCAGCAACGCCGCGUGCGGGAUGACGGCCUUCGGGUGGUAAACCGCUUUCGCCUGUGACGAAGCGUGAGUGACGGUAAUGGGUAAGAAGCACCGGCUAACUACGUG